rnacentral:rRNA from 1 species
CCUACGGGGAGCAGCAGUGGGGCAUAUUGCACAAUUGGGGAAACCCUGAUGCAGCGACGCCGCGUGAGUGACGAAGUAUUUCGGUAUGUAAAGCUCUAUCAACAAGGAAGAAAAGGACGGUACCUGAGUAAGAAGCCACGGCUAACUACGUGCCAGCAGCCGCGGUAAUACGUAGGGGGCAAGCGUUAUCCGGAUUGACUGGGUGGAAAGGGAGCUUAGACGGCAGCACAAGUCUGGAGUGAAAUGCCGGGGCUUAACACCGGAACUGCGUUGGAAUCUGUGCAGCUAGAGUUCAGCAUAGGUAAGUUGACUUCCUAGUGUAGAUGUGAAAUGCGUAGAGAUUAGGAGGAACACCAGUGGCGAAGGCGGCUUACUGGACUGUAACUGACGUUGAGGCUCGAAAGCGUGGGGAGCAAACAGGAUUAGAUACCCUUGUAGUC